GAUGAAGAACGCAGCGAAAUGCGAUACGAAAUGUGAAUUGCAGAAUUCAGUGAAUCAUCGAAUCUUUGAACGCAUAUUGCGCUCUCUGGUAUUCCGGAGAGCAUGCUUGUUUGAGUAUCAGUAAACACCUCAACUCCCCUUUCUUUUUUUGAAAUGGGAGCUGGACUUGAGUGAUCCCAACGCUUUUCUCACCGAAAAGUGGCGGGUUACUUGAAAUGCAGGUGCAGCUGGACUUUUCUCUGAGCUAAAAGCAUAUCUAUUUAGUCUGCCUAAAAAACAGAUUAUUACCUUUGCUGCAGCUAACAUAAAGGAGAUUAGUUCUUGUGCUGACUGAUGCAGGAUUCACAGAGACAGCUUCGGCUGGCCUUUGUAAACUCGAUCUCAAAUCAAGUAAGACUACCCGCUGAACUUAAGCAUAUCAAUAAGCGGAGGA
rnacentral:misc_RNA from 1 species